rnacentral:rRNA from 1 species
AUGUCAACACAAGAAAGUGAGGCUGACUAUCAGGUUCUCCUUGGUGAUGAGGCGGAGGAGGUUGAAGAGGAUGAUGAGUGGGGAGAGGAGGAGGAAUGUGAGUCAAGUGGGUCUGAACCAAUUCGAAAGCGUCAGAAAGCAUCUGACAUUUGGGAAGGCUUCAUAAUUCUUAAGCGCACAAGCACUGGGGAAUCAGCUAGAUGUUCUACUUGUGGAAAAACAAGCAUGACUUCUCUCUUGACAUUCGCACGUUUAGUUGAAAAGCCCCAGGUUGUUCCUGAUUAUGCUGCUGCUAGAAGAUCAUUAGCCAUGUUUAUUAUCACCAGUGGGCUGUCAUUAUCAAUUGUUGAAGAACCCAGUCUUCAGACGUUUAUUAGAGUUGUUAACCCGCUAUCUGAAAAUAUAAACUCUUGACGCCGAUCCGUUUUAGACAGAGUCAUGGUUCUUUAUGGAAGGGAAAAAGAUUCUUUGAAAUUUAUCUUGUCUGAAGCACCUGGGAGAAUCAGUUUCGCUGUUGAUAGCUGGAAGGGCAAAAAAAUCGGAGAAAACUACAAUGAUGAUAUCUAUAUGUGCAUCGUGGCUUGCUUUAUUGAUGUUGAUUGGAAUUUGCAGAGAAGAGUAGUGGCUUUCAAACACUUGGCUUUUCCUGAUGAUGUUGUGUCUGUCGCUGAUACUAUAGCAUCCUGUUUUGCUGAAUUUGAGGUUGAUCAGAAGCUAAUGUGCAUAACUCUGGGUAAUGCAUUAGAUGAUGCUUCUAUGGAUAAUCCAGUUAAGAUGAUUGUGCUAGAUAAGGACAAAUUGUUGUGUGAUGGUUCAUUAUGUCAAAUGCAUUGUUGCACGAAAAUCUUGAAUUCAGUUGUCCAAGUUGGUCUAGAGCUGAUUGAUGAUGUUAUCGACAAGAUUCGUCAUGGAAUUCACUAUAUCACUUACUCUAAAAAGAGAGAGGAUGAGUUUUAUUAG